rnacentral:rRNA from 1 species
CCUACGGGAGGCAGCAGUGAGGAAUAUUGGUCAAUGGGCGUAAGCCUGAACCAGCCAAGUCGCGUGAGGGAUGAAGGUUCUAUGGAUCGUAAACCUCUUUUAUAAGGGAAUAAAGUGUGGGACGUGUCCUAUUUUGUAUGUACCUUAUGAAUAAGGAUCGGCUAUCUCGGUGCCAGCAGCCGCGGUAAUACGGAGGAUCCGAGUGUUAUCCGGAGUUAUUGGGUUUAAAGGGUGCGUAGGCGGCCUUUUAAGUCAGCGGUGAAAGUCUGUGGCUCAACCAUAGAAUUGCCGUUGAAACUGGGGGGCUUGAGUAUGUUUGAGGCAGGCGGAAUGCGUGGUGUAGCGGUGAAAUGCGUAGAUAUCACGCAGAACCCCGAUUGCGAAGGCAGCCUGCCAAGCCAUGACUGACGCUGAUGCACGAAAGCGUGGGGAUCAAACAGGAUUAGAUACCCUUGUAGUC